AGUGUUCGUGAUAUACAGUAUUGGUAUGACAUCAAUUAUGGGAAGGGCAGGUGCAAAUGCAAAUAUCAAACAAAAGCGAUGUCAACUCUGGGCUCUGGCUUUGAAGAAGUCUGGUGAUCUGAAGAAUCAGAAGGCUGGAGUUUAUCAGAAUUAGGACUCCGGCAAUUGUCAGAAACAAGUUCAGAUAACAUUAAGAUGAAGAUUCCGCACAGUGACAGAGUAUUUGAGGGCUGUCAGAGAUUUGGAAUGCACUUGCAGGUUUACAGGAAAUGGAAAUGGAUGUUUGUGAAUGCCAGACUGUCUGCCUCAUAUCUAUGCCAAGCAACAAUCUAUCUUCUCUACAGCAUUCCCUCGGCGACAUAUCUGUAUGCCAUCAAUCCGACGUUUAAUCCUAUACAUGCAUACAGAAAUCAGGCAGUUAUCUGAUUCAGAAAAAAUGUAUUGUACUCGUACUAUUUCCAAAUUUGACGAACUUAAAUUAUCGUUAUUUUUUCCGUAAUCUUCAUAAAUUUGAUUAUUUUGAUGAUCCUGUUGUCAUCCAAACUGGGAGAGGUGUUGUCAUAAAGUUUGAAUUAAUAAAGUUUUAAUUUUAUCUAGAA